rnacentral:rRNA from 1 species
CGGACGGGUGAGUAAUGCUUGGGAAUCUGGCUUAUGGAGGGGGAUAACUACGGGAAACUGUAGCUAAUACCGCGUAAUAUCUUCGGAUUAAAGGGUGGGACUUUCGGGCCACCUGCCAUAAGAUGAGCCCAAGUGGGAUUAGGUAGUUGGUGGGGUAAAGGCCUACCAAGCCGACGAUCUCUAGCUGGUCUGAGAGGAUGACCAGCCACACUGGAACUGAGACACGGUCCAGACUCCUACGGGAGGCAGCAGUGGGGAAUAUUGCACAAUGGGGGGAACCCUGAUGCAGCCAUGCCGCGUGAAUGAAGAAGGCCUUCGGGUUGUAAAGUUCUUUCGGUGAUGAGGAAGGUGUUUGUUUUAAUAGAACAAGCAAUUGACGUUAGUCACAGAAGAAGCACCGGCUAACUCCGUGCCAGCAGCCGCGGUAAUACGGAGGGUGCGAGCGUUAAUCGGAAUGACUGGGCGUAAAGGGCACGCAGGCGGUGACUUAAGCGAGAUGUGAAAGCCCUGGGCUUAACCUGGGAAUUGCAUUUCAUACUGGGUCGCUAGAGUAUUUUAGGGAGGGGUAGAAUUCCACGUGUAGCGGUGAAAUGCGUAGAGAUGUGGAGGAAUACCGAAGGCGAAGGCAGCCCCUUGGGAAUAUACUGACGCUCAUGUGCGAAAGCGUGGGGAGCAAACAGGAUUAGAUACCCUGGUAGUCCACGCUGUAAACGCUGUCGAUUUGGGGAUUGGGCUUUGAGCUUGGUGCCCGUAGCUAACGUG